UACGGAGGGUGCAAGCGUUAUCCGGAUUCACCGGGUUUAAAGGGUGCGUAGGCGGAUUGGUAAGUCCGUGGUGAAAUCUCUAAGCUUAACUUGGAAACUGCCAUGGAUACUAUUAGUCUUGAAUAUUGUGGAGGUUAGCGGAAUAUGUCAUGUAGCGGUGAAAUGCAUAGAUAUGACAUAGAACACCAAUUGCGAAGGCAGCUGGCUACACAAAUAUUGACGCUGAUGCACGAAAGCGUGGGGAUCAAACAGG
rnacentral:rRNA from 1 species